CAGGGGACACAGGUGACAAUGACACAGGGGACAGGGACACAGGGGACACAGGGGACAGUGACACAGGGACACAGGGACACAGGGACACAGGGGACACAGGGGACACAGGGACACAGGGACACAGGGGACAGUGACACAGGGGACACAGGGGACAGUGACACAGGGGACAGUGACACAGGGGACAGUGACACAGGGACACAGGGACACAGGUGACAAUGACACAGGGACACAGGUGACACAUGGAGGUGACAGAGAGAGAUGACACCGGUGACACAGGGACACAGGGGACAGGGACACAGGGACACAGGGGACACAGGGGUGACAGUGACACACAGGUGACACAGGUGACACAGGGGACACAGGGACACAGGGACACAGGGGACACAGGGGACAGGGACACAGGUGACAAUGACACCGGUGACACAGGGAGGUGACAGAGACAGAUGACACAGGUGACUCAGAGGGUACACAGAGGGGACACCGGUGACACAGGGACACAGGGGACACAGGGGACAAUGACACAGGGGACACAGGGAGGUGACAGAGACAGAUGACACAGGGGACACAGGUGACACACAGGUGACACAGGUGACACAGGGGACACGGGUGACACACAGGUGACAAUGACACUCACUGAACAGGACAGCGAUCCCCAGCAAGCACAGGUGACAAUGACACAGGUGACAAUGACACACAGGUGACAGUGACACAGAUGACAUAGGUGACAGUGUGACAGUGACAAUGACACACAGGUGACAUAGGUGACAGUGACAAUGACAAUGACACACAGGUGACACACAGGUGACAGCGACACACAGGUGACAAUGACACACAGGUGACAAUGACACACAGGUGACACACAGGUGACAAUGACACAGAUGACAUAGGUGACAGUGAAACAGGUGACAAUGACACACAGGUGACAUAGGUGACAGUGACAAUGACACACAGGUGACAAUGACACAUGCAGGUGACACAGGUGCCACUCACAGGUGACAGUGACAAUGACACACAGGUGACGGUGACACACAGGUGACACACAGGUGACAGUGACAGUGACAGUGUCACUCACUGAAGAGCACGGCGAUCCCCAGCACACACAGGUGACAGUGACACAGGUGACACACAGGUGACAAUGACAGUGACACAGGUGACAAUGACAGUGACAGUGUCACUCACUGAAGAGCACGGCGAUCCCCAGCACACACAGGUGACAGUGACAGUGACACACAGGUGACAGUGACACAGGUGACACACAGGUGACAAUGACACACAGGUGACAGUGACACACAGGUGACAAUGACACACAGGUGACAAUGACACUCAGGUGUCACUCACUGAAGAGCACGGCGAUCCCCAGCACACACAGGUGACAGUGACAGUGACACACAGGUGACAAUGACACUCAGGUGUCACUCACUGAAGAGCACGGCGAUCCCCAGCACACACAGGUGACAGUGACACACAGGUGACAAUGACAGUGACACACAGGUGACACACAGGUGACAGUGACAGUGACACACAGGUGACAGUGACACACAGGUGACACACAGGUGACAAUGACAAUGACACUCAGGUGUCACUCACUGAAGAGCACGGCGAUCCCCAGCACGCUCAGCACCGCGGCCACCACGAGGCCACCGACGCGCAGGUGACACCAGUCUGGGGACACAGGGACACCUUGGGGACACCUGGGGACACCUCUGACACAC